GACGAACGCUGGCGGCGUGCCUAAUACAUGCAAGUAGAACGCUGAAGGAGGAGCUCGCUUCUCUGGAUGAGUUGCGAACGGGUGAGUAACGCGUAGGUAACCUGCCUGGUAGCGGGGGAUAACUAUUGGAAACGAUAGCUAAUACCGCAUAAGAGUAGAUGUUGCAUGACAUUUGCUUAAAAGGUGCAAUUGCAUCACUACCAGAUGGACCUGCGUUGUAUUAGCUAGUUGGUGGGGUAACGGCUCACCAAGGCGACGAUACAUAGCCGACCUGAGAGGGUGAUCGGCCACACUGGGACUGAGACACGGCCCAGACUCCUACGGGAGGCAGCAGUAGGGAAUCUUCGGCAAUGGACGGAAGUCUGACCGAGCAACGCCGCGUGAGUGAAGAAGGUUUUCGGAUCGUAAAGCUCUGUUGUAAGAGAAGAACGAGUGUGAGAGUGGAAAGUUCACACUGUGACGGUAUCUUACCAGAAAGGGACGGCUAACUACGUG
rnacentral:rRNA from 1 species